rnacentral:rRNA from 1 species
AACCAGCACCUCAAGUGGUCAGGAUGAUUAUUGGGCCUAAAGCAUCCGUAGCCUGUUCUGUAGGUUUUCGGUUAAAUCUAUGCGCUCAACGUAUAGGCUGCCGAAAGUACUGCAGAACUAGGGAGUGGGAGAGGUAGACGGUACUCGGUAGGAAGGGGUAAAAUCCUUUGAUCUAUUGAUGAACACCAGUGGCGAAGGCGACUUUCUGGACAGAUACUGACGCUGAGACGCGAAAGCGUGGGGAGCAAACAGG